rnacentral:rRNA from 1 species
UAGGGAAUCUUGCGCAAUGGGCGAAAGCCUGACGCAGCCAUGCCGCGUGAAUGAUGAAGGUCUUAGGAUUGUAAAAUUCUUUCACCGGGGAAGAUAAUGACGGUACCCGGAGAAGAAGCCCCGGCUAACUUCGUGCCAGCAGCCGCGGUAAUACGAAGGGGGCUAGCGUUGCUCGGAAUUACUGGGCGUAAAGGGCGCGUAGGCGGAUAUUUAAGUUAGAGGUGAAAGCCCAGGGCUCAACCCUGGAAUAGCCUUUAAUACUGGAUAUCUUGAGUUCGGGAGAGGUGAGUGGAACUCCGAGUGUAGAGGUGAAAUUCGUAGAUAUUCGGAAGAACACCAGUGGCGAAGGCGACUCACUGGCCCGAUACUGACGCUGAGGCGCGAAAGCGUGGGGAGCAAACAG